GUUUGGGUCCCGUGCGGCGUCAUGCCGUGAAUCUUGUCAGGGUCGGAAGACAGCAGCAAUAAGCGGAAUUUGGCGUGCGCCGCGGGAGUUCCCGGCUCGA
rnacentral:SRP_RNA from 1 species